GAGUUUGAUCCUGGCUCAGGAUGAACGCUGGCGGCGUGCCUAAUACAUGCAAGUCGAGCGAACGGACGAGAAGCUUGCUUCUCUGAUGUUAGCGGCGGACGGGUGAGUAACACGUGGAUAACCUACCUAUAAGACUGGGAUAACUUCGGGAAACCGUAGCUAAUACCGGAUAAUAUUUUGAACCGCAUGGUUCAAAAGUGAAAGACGGUCUUGCUGUCACUUAUAGAUGGAUCCGCGCUGCAUUAGCUAGUUGGUAAGGUAACGGCUUACCAAGGCAACGAUGCAUAGCCGACCUGAGAGGGUGAUCGGCCACACUGGAACUGAGACACGGUCCAGACUCCUACGGGAGGCAGCAGUAGGGAAUCUUCCGCAAUGGGCGAAAGCCUGACGGAGCAACGCCGCGUGAGUGAUGAAGGUCUUCGGAUCGUAAAACUCUGUUAUUAGGGAAGAACAUAUGUGUAAGUAACUGUGCACAUCUUGACGGUACCUAAUCAGAAAGCCACGGCUAACUACGUGCCAGCAGCCGCGGUAAUACGUAGGUGGCAAGCGUUAUCCGGAAUUAUUGGGCGUAAAGCGCGCGUAGGCGGUUUUUUAAGUCUGAUGUGAAAGCCCACGGCUCAACCGUGGAGGGUCAUUGGAAACUGGAAAACUUGAGUGCAGAAGAGGAAAGUGGAAUUCCAUGUGUAGCGGUGAAAUGCGCAGAGAUAUGGAGGAACACCAGUGGCGAAGGCGACUUUCUGGUCUGUAACUGACGCUGAUGUGCGAAAGCGUGGGGAUCAAACAGGAUUAGAUACCCUGGUAGUCCACGCCGUAAACGAUGAGUGCUAAGUGUUAGGGGUUUCCGCCACUUAGUGCUGCAGCUAACGCAUUAAGCACUCCGCCUGGGGAGUACGACCGCAAGGUUGAAACUCAAAGGAAUUGACGGGGACCCGCACAAGCGGUGGAGCAUGUGGUUUAAUUCGAAGCAACGCGAAGAACCUUACCAAAUCUUGACAUCCUUUGACAACUCUAGAGAUAGAGCCUUCCCCUUCGGGGGACAAAGUGACAGGUGGUGCAUGGUUGUCGUCAGCUCGUGUCGUGAGAUGUUGGGUUAAGUCCCGCAACGAGCGCAACCCUUAAGCUUAGUUGCCAUCAUUAAGUUGGGCACUCUAAGUUGACUGCCGGUGACAAACCGGAGGAAGGUGGGGAUGACGUCAAAUCAUCAUGCCCCUUAUGAUUUGGGCUACACACGUGCUACAAUGGACAAUACAAAGGGCAGCGAAACCGCGAGGUCAAGCAAAUCCCAUAAAGUUGUUCUCAGUUCGGAUUGUAGUCUGCAACUCGACUACAUGAAGCUGGAAUCGCUAGUAAUCGUAGAUCAGCAUGCUACGGUGAAUACGUUCCCGGGUCUUGUACACACCGCCCGUCACACCACGAGAGUUUGUAACACCCGAAGCCGGUGGAGUAACCUUUUAGGAGCUAGCCGUCGAAGGUGGGACAAAUGAUUGGGGUGAAGUCGUAACAAGGUAGCCGUAUCGGAAGGUGCGGCUGGAUCACC
rnacentral:rRNA from 1 species